rnacentral:ncRNA from 1 species
UCUAUGUAAAGGCACAACUAUCGAAAGGUAGCGUCGCAAAGCUAUGGGUCUAAAGAAAAUCUCUUUCUAGGAUUGCCAGGUUGUCAAG